rfam:Candidatus Amoebophilus asiaticus 5a2, complete genome.
CGGGAUGUGGCGCAGUCCGGUUAGCGCACUCGUUUAGGGUACGAGAGGCCGUGGGUUCAAAUCCCGCCAUCCCGA